rnacentral:rRNA from 1 species
CAGCCGCCGCGGUAAUACGUAGGUGGCAAGCGUUGUCCGGAAUUAUUGGGCGUAAAGCGCGCGCAGGUGGUUUAAUAAGUCUGACGUGAAAGCCCACGGCUCAACCGUGGAGGGUCAUUGGAAACUGUUAAACUUGAGUGCAGGAGAGAAAAGUGGAAUUCCUAGUGUAGCGGUGAAAUGCGUAGAGAUUAGAGGAACACCAGUGGCGAAGGCGGCUUUUUGGCCUGUAACUGACACUGAGGCGCGAAAGCGUGGGGAGCAAACAGGAUUAGAGACCCCUGUAGUCCCUGUCUCUUAUACA